CAGAGUCAAUAUAAAAUUCUUUGAUGGCGCCAAAUAUUUGAGAAAUAACACAGAAAAAAUAGAAAGAAAAAAAAGGAAAAAUAAUUGAUGGGGCCAAAUAAUUGAUAGUCUAAUUAAUCCAAUUAAAUUAGAUAUUAAAAUUUUUUAUCCAAUCCAAUCCAUCAAGUUUCAGACUAAAAAAAAAAGGAAAAUAGCCCUAAAUGCCACCAAUUUUAUAAUUUUUUGU
rnacentral:lncRNA from 1 species